GCUGCCGCGGCGGGAGCGGCGCGGAGCCGAGCUGUYCUCUGGAAAUCUCCCUGAUCCUGGUGAGAGCAGUGGAUUAAUGGAGCUGAACAACAAUCUCGCUGUUUAAAGGAAAGCGAUGUGGACUUAGCUGAUGUCAUGAAAUGCAAAAUCCAUCUGCACAGGAGGAGAAGAGCCCUCUAGGAGCCGCAGAGGAGGAGCGAGCGGCGCCCGGGCGAGAGCGGCCGCGCCGG